UACGUAGGGUGCGAGCGUUGCCCGGAUUUAUUGGGCGUAAAGGGCGCGUAGGCGGUGAGAUGCGUCCGUUGUGAAAUCGCCCGGCUCAACUGGGCGGGGUCAGCGGAUACGGUCUCACUUGAGCAAGCUAGGGGGCAAUGGAAUUCCCGGUGUAGUGGUGGAAUGCGUAGAUAUCGGGAGGAACACCAGUGGCGAAGGCGGGUCUCUGGGCCGUAACUGACGCUGAGGAGCGAAAGCGUGGGGAGCGAACAGG
rnacentral:rRNA from 1 species